GACGAACGCUGGCGGCGUGCCUAAUACAUGCAAGUCGAGCGCUGAAGGGAGGUACUUGUUUCAACUGGAUGAGCAGCGGACGGGUGAGUAACGCGUGGGGAACCUACCUUUGAGCGGGGGACAACAUCGGGAAACGAAUGCUAAUACCGCAUAAAAUCUUUAAACACAAGUUUCAAGAGUGAAAGAUGCAAUUGCUUCACCCAAUGGUGAUCCCGCCUUGUCUUAGCUAGUUUGUUAGGUUAACGGCCAACAAAGCGAUGGUACAUAACCGAACCGGGGGGGGGAUCGGCCCAAUUGGGACUGGGACCAGGCCCAAGCUCCCACGGGAGGCAGCAGUAGGGGAUCUUUGGGCAUGGAGGGAAGUCUGACCGGGCAACGCCGCGUGGGUGGAGGAGGUUUUCGGAUCGUAAAACUCUGUUGGUAGAGAAGGACGUUGGUUGGAGUGGAAAGCUCAUCAAGUGACGGUAACUACUCAGAAAGGGACGGCUAACUACGUG
rnacentral:rRNA from 1 species